ensembl:lncRNA
UUUCCAAUUUUUCCCCUUUUUUUACCAUUUUUUUCCCCUUUUUUACCAAUUUUUACCCAUUUUUCCCCUUUUUUACUGAUUUUUACCCACUUUUCCCUUUUUUAUCCAUUUUUCCCAUUUUCCCCGUUUUUUAUCCAUUUUUAACUCAUUUUUUACCCUGUUUUCCAAUUUUCUACAAUUUUUCCCCAUUUUUUCCCAUUUUUUCCCAUUUUUUACACAUUUUUCCCAUUUUUACCCAGUUUUCCCUUUUUUUUAAUCCAUUUUUCCUGUUUUUUACCCAUUUUUAAUCCAUUUUUUACCCAUUUUUUACCCUGUUUUCCAAUUUUCUACAAUUUUUCCCCAUUUUUUCCCAUUUUUUCCCCAUUUUUUCCCAUUUUUCCAUUUUUUACCCAUUUUUCCCAUUUUUUCCCAUUUUUACCCUUUUUUAUCCAUUUUUCCUGUUUUUUACCCAUUUUUCAUCCAUUUUUUACCCAUUUUUUACCGUUUUCCAAUUUUCUACAAUUUUUCCCCAUUUUUUACCAAUUUUUCCCCAUUUCUACCCAUUUUUUCCCAUUUUUUAUCAUUUUUUUACCCCAUUUUUCCCUAUUUUUUACCCUUUUUUCCAUUUUUUAUCCAUUUUUUACCCUUUUUCUCCAUUUUUUACCAUUUUUUCCCCUUUUUUACCAGUUUUUCCUCAUUUUUACAAUUUUUUCCCAUUUUUAUCCAUUUUUCCCCAUUUUUUCCCAUUUUUAUCCAUUUUUUCCCAUUUUUAGCCAUUUUUUCCCCAUUUUUUACCCUUUUUUUCCAUUUUUUACCAAUUUUUUCCCCGUUUUUCCCAUUUUUCCCCAUUUUUUACCCAUUUUUUCCCCAUUUUUCCCCAUUUUUCCCCCUUUUUAUCCAUUUUUACCCAUUUCUUACCCUGUUUUCCAAUUUUCUACAAUUUUUCCCCAUUUUUUAGCCAUUUUUAGCCAUUUUUUUCCCUUUUUUUAUCAAUUUUUUCCCCAAUUUUUUCCCAUUUGUUCCCCUUUUUUAUCCUUUUUUUACCAAUUUUUUCCCCUUUUUUUACCAAUUUUUACCUAUUUUUCCCCAUUUCUUACCCAUUUUUCCCAGUUUUACCCAUUUUUUCCCCUUUUUUAUCCAUUUUUUCCCGUUUUUUACCAGUUUUUAAUCAUUUUUACCCAUUUUUUACCCUGUUUUCCAAUUUUCUACAAUUUUUCUCCAUUUUUUACCCAUUUUCCCCCAUUUUUUCCCAUUUUUUAUCCCCAUUUCUACCCAUUUUUUCGCCUUUUUUAUCCAUUUUUUACCCAUUUUUCCCAUUUUUAUCCAUUUUUUACCCUUUUUUUCCAUUUUUUACCAAUUUUUACCCAUUUUCCCCAUUUUUUACCCAUUUUUCCAAUUUUUUCCCAUUUUUUACCCAUUUUUUCCCAUUUCUUCCCCUUUUUUUUACCAAUUUUCCCCAUUUUUAUCCAUUUUUUCCCAUUUUUAUCCAUUUUUCCCCAUUUUUUUCCCAUUUUUACCCCUUUUUUACCCUUUUUUUCCAUUUUUUAUCCAUUUUUUCCCAUUUUUAUUGAAUUUUUACCCCAUUUUUACCCAUUUUUUCCCCUUUUUUGCCAAUUUUCCCCAUUUUUAUCCAUUUUUUACCCUUUUUUUACCCUUUUUUUCGUUUUUUUUCCCCAUUUUUUCCCAUUUUUUCCCAUUUUACC